UUUCCGGGUUGUGAGUUUGCGUGGAAGUGCAUGAGGUUGAUGAUGCUGAGACACAGGAAAGGUGAGGCUUCUUCUGCAUGAGCUGUGCAUCUGUGUCUCAGUGUUGUGGCGCAACUGAUGUUUAGUUUUCUCCCGCAUCUGCACGAGCAACAGCUGAUGCUCCUUUACUGUGUGUUGACAUGGGACUACAUCAAAAUGCAACUGAAGGAGGUCAGGAUGUCAGUACGGAGUGUAAGUGCUUAAUUUGUGUCGAAUGUGGGAAAGAUUUUGCAUGUCAGCUGGAGGAACAUGAGCUAACACACACAGGAGAGAUUUCCCACCGCUGCCCCGACUGCAUCAACAGCGUGGCACGUCUAUCCGGUCUCACAUCUCCUGAACAGACCCUCUCUGAAACAGAGGACCUUAAUAAUUUGGAUGCUCAUGACGAGGAGAGGCCUUGCACUUCUGUGUGCUCUGAAGAUCUGCACAAGCACUUACAAACCGACACAUUUAAGGACAUUAGUGAACUUAUAGAUAAUGUUUAGAGCGAUGCACCUAAUGAAAACCUUCCCCAAAGUUAAGAGGAGGAGGUGAUGGAGGUUUUCUCUCUCCUUCUCGCUGAUAAAGCAUCAACGUGUCGCUCAUCCAGAUCAACAUGUUGACAAAGAGGAAGUUUGCGGGAGGAAGUUUGGUCGGAGCGCCAAGAACCUUGUUA